UACGUAGGGUGCGAGCGUUAAUCGGAAUUACUGGGCGUAAAGCGCGCGCAGGCGGUUCGCCAAGUCAGGUGUGAAAUCCCCGGGCUUAACCUGGGAAUUGCGCUUGAAACUAGCGGGCUUGAGUGUGGGCAGAGGGGGGUGGGAAUUCCACGGUGUAGCAGUGAAAUGCGUAGAGAUGUGGAGGAACACCGAUGGCGAAGGCAGCCCCCUGGGUCAACACUGACGCUCAUGCACGAAAGCGUGGGGAGCAAACAGG
rnacentral:rRNA from 1 species